AGAGUUUGAUCCUGGCUCAGGAUGAACGCUGGCGGCGUGCUUAACACAUGCAAGUCGAGCGAAGCACCUUGACGGAUUUCUUCGGAUUGAAGCCUUGGUGACUGAGCGGCGGACGGGUGAGUAACGCGUGGGUAACCUGCCUCAUACAGGGGGAUAACAGUUGGAAACGGCUGCUAAUACCGCAUAAGCGCACAGUACCGCAUGGUACGGUGUGAAAAACUCCGGUGGUAUGAGAUGGACCCGCGUCUGAUUAGGUAGUUGGUGGGGUAACGGCCUACCAAGCCGACGAUCAGUAGCCGACCUGAGAGGGUGACCGGCCACAUUGGGACUGAGACACGGCCCAAACUCCUACGGGAGGCAGCAGUGGGGAAUAUUGCACAAUGGGGGAAACCCUGAUGCAGCGACGCCGCGUGAGCGAUGAAGUAUUUCGGUAUGUAAAGCUCUAUCAGCAGGGAAGAAAAUGACGGUACCUGACUAAGAAGCCCCGGCUAACUACGUGCCAGCAGCCGCGGUAAUACGUAGGGGGCAAGCGUUAUCCGGAUUUACUGGGUGUAAAGGGAGCGUAGACGGCAUGGCAAGCCAGAUGUGAAAGCCCGGGGCUCAACCCCGGGACUGCAUUUGGAACUGUCAGGCUAGAGUGUCGGAGAGGAAAGCGGAAUUCCUAGUGUAGCGGUGAAAUGCGUAGAUAUUAGGAGGAACACCAGUGGCGAAGGCGGCUUUCUGGACGAUGACUGACGUUGAGGCUCGAAAGCGUGGGGAGCAAACAGGAUUAGAUACCCUGGUAGUCCACGCCGUAAACGAUGAAUAAUGGGUGUCGGGUGGCAAAGCCAUUCGGGGCCGCAGCAAACGCAAUAAGUAUUCCACCUGGGGAGGACGUUCGCAAGAAUGAAACUCAAAGGAAUUGACGGGGGCCCGCACAAGCGGUGGAGCAAUGUGGUUUAAUUCGAAGCAACGCGAAGAACCUUACCAAGUCUUGACAUCCUUCUGACCGGUACUUAAUCGUACCUUCUCUUCGGAGCAGGAGUGACAGGUGGUGCAUGGUUGUCGUCAGCUCGUGUCGUGAGAUGUUGGGUUAAGUCCCGCAACGAGCGCAACCCUUAUCUUUAGUAGCCAGCGGUCAGGCCGGGCACUCUAGAGAGACUGCCAGGGAUAACUUGGAGGAAGGCGGGGAUGACGUCAAAUCAUCAUGCCCCUUAUGACUUGGGCUACACACGUGCUACAAUGGCGUAAACAAAGGGAAGCAAAGCUGUGAAGCCGAGCAAAUCUCAAAAAUAACGUCUCAGUUCGGACUGUAGUCUGCAACCCGACUACACGAAGCUGGAAUCGCUAGUAAUCGCAGAUCAGAAUGCUGCGGUGAAUACGUUCCCGGGUCUUGCACACACCGCCCGUCA
rnacentral:rRNA from 1 species